rfam:Triticum urartu cultivar G1812 contig912855, whole genome shotgun sequence.
UUAUUACUCCCUCCGUUCUGAAAUACUUGUUGGAGAAAUGGAUACAAUUGGAUGUAUCUAUAACUAAAAUACGUCUAGAUUCAUCCAUUUCUCCGACAAGUAUUUUGAGACGGAGGGAGUACAAU